rnacentral:rRNA from 1 species
CCCAGACUCCUACGGGAGGCAGCAGUGGGGAAUAUUGCACAAUGGGGGAAACCCUGAUGCAGCAACGCCGCGUGAGUGAAGAAGUAUUUCGGUAUGUAAAGCUCUAUCAGCAGGGAAGAAGAAAGACGGUACCUGACUAAGAAGCCCCGGCUAACUACGUGCCAGCAGCCGCGGUAAUACGUAGGUGGCAAGCGUUAUCCGGAUUUACUGGGUGUAAAGGGCGUGUAGGCGGGAAAGCAAGUCAGAUGUGAAAUCCAAGGGCUCAACCCUUGAACUGCAUUUGAAACUGUCGUUCUCGAGUACUGGAGAGGUUGACGGAAUUCCUAGUGUAGCGGUGAAAUGCGUAGAUAUUAGGAGGAACACCAGUGGCGAAGGCGGUCAACUGGACAGCAACUGACGCUGAGGCGCGAAAGCGUGGGGAGCAAACAGGAUUAGAUACCCCUGUA